ACGUCAACAGUACUAGAACACAUAAGACACUAGUUGCUUGAUCAACAUUCUUCCAUAGUCCAGAUUGUGCUAUCCUAAUCUUCUCUUCCACAACUGCCCUGCCACUUUGACAGGAACUACGCUGCAGUGCAUCCCUUGCUUUACUAGACGUUCACUACUUGCUUGAGGACUGGAUGCUGAAAAAUUGAUUGAAUCUGACUAUUAAAUCAAUAGGAGGUGAAAUAUAAGUGUCAAAAAGAGUUAACAAUAUGUUAACUUACUGAUCUGUAGAACUUGACUGUUACAAUGAAGAUUUGAAAAAGUUAUCAACUUUUUCAUUCCUAGGUUCCUCCAUUUCGUACAUUUUGUCCAUAUUUCUCUUUGGUUUUAUUUUAUCAAAAUGGCAGGAAGAUUCAGCCUAUAAAGAGACACAAUAAAAUAUAUCGAGGGUGUCUUCUUUGAGUGUCUCAAGUUAUGGCUAUAUAGUUUGACAUUGUCUUCACAUUUUGAAUGAAUUUGUGUUUUGUGCUUUAAUUCCCAUGUUCUUGAAUGCAAUGUCUAAAAUAGAUUCUUAAUCCGCUCAACAAAAUUGACGUAGUUAGAAUGAAACGAUGGGAAAACAAGCCAUAAAGCAAAUACAACAUGAACUAUAAAUAACAUUGACUUUUUCAUCCAAUCUGUUAUUUUGUUUUCACUAUUCACAUAGAAACUACAAGGAGCAAGGAAAUGAUUUUCUCAAGAAGCAAGAGAUGACUCAUAAAUAUAACUAUCUUAAUUUGAAAAAUGCAAUGAAGCUGUAUGCCUUAAAGGAAGAAGGCAAAAUAAUGUGGGUACAUCUUGUGCAAAAAAAUCUGUGGUUUUAAGUACUUGGAUGAUGUUUCACUUGUUAUAUAAAAAAGCACUACAUUCAAGAUGUAGAAUCAAAUGAAAUGCUGAAGUACAUAAUUAAAAGAAGACAAACCUAGCUAAGGCAGAGUGAAAUAGGAGAAGAGACAGAGAAAUAAGAUUUAGGGUCAAGGAUUGUAUAAAAAAGUGAGAAUUUAUCAUAGCUUCCAUGAAUCUCCCUACCCUUCGUUAUACCUCCGGUUUGAGCACAUACUGGAAGAGUAAUUGCAACCAUAUUUGUAUCAAGUUUUAUAUCUUCAAACUAUAUUUCACAUAAGAGAUAUAAUGGCUUUUGAAAGCACCCAUUCUGUGAAUAUCCUACAAUCAUUCUAUGCCCAUUAUAUAUAGCUUUGAAAGAUCCUCUUUUGAUGGCUUUUAUUAUGCAAUCACAUUGAAAUUGACAUUAGCUUUUCAUCAUUAUUGUUUUAGACUUAAACCUUGCUUUUUGAUUUGGCAUUUCCAUACUUAAAAAAAUGCAAUGCCUAUUUUAUUGAAAAUUGUAAAUUAUGUUAUAAUACCUAUGGUUUGUUGCCUAUGUUGUAAAGUUUGAACAAAAUUUUGAUGAAUGUUUGUGGGUUUACUUAUCUUAAUUAAUAAUUUUCAUUGUUGUAGGCAAUGUUGCCCUUUUCUACACUUCGAACAUGCCUUGAGAUGAUCAUCAUUGUCAAAUGUGGGAAGAUGAAGAACAUAAUUUUGCCAGCAAAAUUUGGGGAACUGCUAAUAACAAAAUGCAUAGAACUAAAAACAUUAGCAAUUUGUGAUAUUAGUGAGUUGUCAAUCGUUGUCUAGCAGAGCUCUUUGAAUUGGAUUACAAUUGAAAAUUGUGACAAGCUGCAAAUUAUAAAAGGUAUUGAUGAGCUGCAUGCAUUAAAAAGUGUUACCUUGUUGAAUUGUCCGUAUCUUGUAGAGUUGCUUUUUUUCUGCACUUCGAACAUGUUGCAAUUGAACAUGAACAUGUUCGAAGUGCAGAAAAAGACAACUCUUCAAGCUUCGGACAAUUCAACAAGUUAACACUUUUUAAUGUAUGUGGCUCAUCAAUACCUUUUAUAGUCUGCAGCUUGUCACAAUUUUCAAUUGUAAUCCGAUUCAAAUAGUUCAGUUGGACAACAUUUGACAACUCACUAUUAUCACAAAUUGUUAAUGGUUUUAGUUCUAUGCAUUUUUUAUUAGCAGUUCCCCAAAUUUUGAUAAGCAAUUAAUGUAAUCGUGAUCGCCUAUUUGAAUGUGUUCUAGUGUGUGACAAAAUAAUGGAGGGGUAUAGGUUGUGCUUAAAGAAAGGUGAAGAAUGGAGAAUUCAACAUAUAUUACAUAGAAUUAUUGAUAGGUUAUACGACAAAUAACUGCAAGGUCAUCUUCUUAGAAAUUAUGGUGCUUUUGACUUUCUAGAAGAUGGGAGAGGAUAUUUUUAAGUGUAAAUUGUAGGAAUUUUUCAGAAAAAAGUGACUGCACAAAUUGCUCUACCUGAGUGCUGAUGGAAGUUUGCAUCUCUCCAUUGUUGCCUCUCAAAGACAGUGACCCAACCCAGCUCCAAAUUUUAAGAUUUUGGACUGGCAGGGCUCUUUCUAGAGGAUCAGACACAUCUUACCACAAGAGUCGGUGGUACAAGAGGGUAUACUGCACCAGAAUAUGCUGUUCAUGGUCAUCUGACUGAUAAGGCUGUUUAUCCUAAACUUCCACCACAUAUGGAACUCCUUUUGGAAUGGGCAUGGAAUUUAUACAAGAAUGAAGAGACAUUUAGCUUGGUAGACUGAAGAUUAAUUGAAGAAGAACCAGAGCUGAAUAGAGAAUAGAUAUUGAUAGACAAGGAGCUCCUGCACUGAGGCCAUUGAUGUCCAAAGUGGUUUCAUGUUCACAAGGGACACAAAGAUUUUGGCUCAGCCCAAUCGCCCGACAUUUAUUGACAACAAUUCCACUUUAAAAGGUUUGGGUUUGGUUAAUUUAGGGUGGAUGAAACCUUCAUCAACAGCAACAUCCCAAGCUGCCCUAUCCAUCUCUUUUGAACCACGUUAAGUCAAGUGUGUAGCCAGCUCUUUUACACCACGUCCUGUCUCCAAUGCCCUUUGACAUGGAAAUCAUUCCUCAGUUUAUGUUUAGCAUAUUGAUUAUAUAGAGAAAUAGGUUAUAGUUUUUUCAUUAUUAGUUCCUGCCAACAGGAAACUAUAGCGAAGGCUUAAACAGUAAUUCUUUAUUAAUCUUUUCCUGUUCAGCCAAUCAAUUUGCUAGAAAAUUUUGCAUAGUUUUAUUUUCAACUAUAUGCAAUCAAGAAGAUGCUCAUUUUUUAGUUGAAAUUUUGGUGCACCAUAUUUUGGCGAUCACUGAUUCGCAUUGCAGAGGGCUGCUCAGAUUUCGACAGGAGAGAAUGCACGAUUGCAGAGGCACACACGGUUUCAGAGGAGCCUGCAGAAGCAGGGCUGCAGGUUAGUUGCUAAAAACACCAUGCGAGUUGUUGCAGAUUUUGCUGUAAAAGUUUACGGUGACUGCAAUUUCUGUCUUUACGGUGAACUGGGAUUUAUCUUUGAAGGAGGGGUGCAUUUUUUUGUAUAAAGUUGGAAGUUUGAAACAACUGUGUUGUUAGCUGGCAAUUUGAACUCUUGGCUAUCGGAUUUUUUUUUCCUUCCGGGGGAGGCACAUUCGCUGAAGGUUGAGAAGGUAUUGUUCAAGGGCAAGUCAGAAUAUCAAGAUGUGAUGGUUUUUCAGUCAUCAUCAUAUGGAAAAGUACUUGUGCUUGAUGGGGUGGUUUGGUUGUCUGAAAAAGAUGAAUGUGCCUACCAAGAGAUGAUAGCACAUCUUCCUCUUUGUUCAAUUCCAACUCCAAAAAAGGUCAUUAUAGCUUUAUCUACAUUCAUUUUAAUAUCCCAGUUAAUGUUAGAUGAAGUAUAGAAACAUGAACUUGUAAGCCAAAUAAUGUGGAGCUUUAUCUUGGUCCUAUGUCAUGCGAUUUUUCUUAGUGUCUGUGGGCAUUCUUGACCAUCCUGUCAACUUCUCUUCUAAUUACUAUUGCAAAUAUUAACUACGAUUACUUCAAAUCCAUAUGCUCAUACUGGUACAUACUCCCCUUCAUUUUUGAGAAUGUUACUAAAGUGUGCUUUCCAGCACAAGUUCCAUGUGUUUUAAGAACACCACUUGUGAAUUUGUAACAGCAUUUCUAACACAAUACUAAUGAUAUUGUUUAUCUGAACACAUUUUGUAUGCUUUUGGAGAAUAUCACUGACAAGUGACAAAUGAAAGCUUUUUUGUAUA